ensembl:lncRNA
CUGCCCUGCUGCUCCGGCACAGCAGGCACAGCCAGGGCAUCUGCUUUGCCUUCAUGUCCACCAGCAGAUGCUUGGCCAGCAGUUGAAAAUUACCAGCUGCCUCCUGCUUAGCAGCCAUUGGCAGGGAGCAUUCCCACUCCCAGAUAGUUUUCUUUUUCUGAUGUUUGGCCUGCUGUGCCCCAGAGAUGUAAACUGCGAUGGGACUUUGCCUGGGAGAAAGACAUCAGCGUUGUGCAGAGUGGAGCACAGAAAUGUCCUUAUGCAGAUUUCUGACAGGGUCAGAGUGGAAUUUCUAAUUCCUGCAGCAGUGAAAUAAGCAGGGUAAUCUUGCAGAAGGGCAGAGCAUCAGUUCUGCUCAGGUUUGCUGUGUGUUGGGAGCUUCUCCUCGGUCAUCCAUAGAAGAUAUGAAGCAUCCUGCCUUCUCUCCCACUGUGACAAGAGCCGUGCCCCGAGAGCUGUAGAUGGAAAUGUAGUUCAAACCACAGCAUGACCGUCCAUUCGUCUGCUUAUUUGUGAAAGCUGUUGGUGAGGCAGUGGGAGGUGUGGGACUGAGGAUGGAGCAGGGAGAGCCAUGAGAGCAGCAGGAGACAGCGCUGGGAGCAUCAGAUGGGUUCUUCACUGAGAGGAGAGGAAACAUUCACUCCAUGGUCCUCUGGUGUCUGUGACUUUGUUCAGUGUUGCUCUCCUGCGUUAUAGAGUUCUACUCGUCAGUAACUUCCAUCACUGCAGACCCAAACACUUGCAAAGAACACAAGUGCUGGCAUUUCCUUUUUAAGGAGGAGUGUAUCAAAGUGCCAGGAGCACGGCCUGGUCCCAGCAGAGCAGUGGCAGAACUGGAACAGUGUGUGACAUAACUGAGUGCUGUGGGCUCACAGUGCCUUGGAGCAGUGUGGGAGCUGCAAAGAGUCCUUCGUCCUUCCCAGUUCCUCUCUGAGAAGUCAUUGGUGUUUGG